UCUACGGGAGGCAGCAGUGGGGAAUCUUCCGCAAUGGGCGAAAGCCUGACGGAGCAACGCCGCGUGAUCGAAUGAAGGCCUUCGGGUUGUAAAGAUCUGUUGACAGGGACGAAUAAGCCAUGCGAAUAGUUUGGUGUAUGACGGUUCCUGUUUAGAAAGCUCCGGCUAACUACGUGCCAGCAGCCGCGGUAAUACGUAGGGAGCAAGCGUUGUCCGGAAUUAAUGGGCGUAAAGGGCGCGUAGGUGGGUGCUUAAGUCAGGUGUGAAAACUUUGGGCUCAACCUGGAGACUGCACUUGAAACUGGGUAUCUGGAGGGCGGGAGAGGAAAGUGGAAUUCCUGGUGUAGCGGUGAAAUGCGUAGAUAUUAGGAGGAACACCAGUGGCGAAGGCGACUUUCUGGACUGUACCUGACGCUGAGGCGCGAAAGCGUGGGUAGCGAACGGGAUUAGAUACCCGUGUAGUC
rnacentral:rRNA from 1 species